UGGCUCAGAACGAACGCUGGCGGCGUGCCUAACACAUGCAAGUCGAACGAGAAAGUCCCCGCAAGGGGAUGAGUAAAGUGGCGUACGGGUGAGUAACACGUAGCUAACCUACCCUCGAGUGGGGGAUAACCUGGGGAAACCCGGGCUAAUACCGCAUACGAUCCUGGUUGCACAUGCAAUUGGGAGGAAAGGCCCGCAAGGGCCGCUUGAGGAGGGGGCUGCGGCCGAUUAGCUAGUUGGCGGGGUAAUGGCCCACCAAGGCGACGAUCGGUAGCCGGCCUGAGAGGGCGCACGGUCACACUGGCACUGAAACACGGGCCAGAGUCCUACGGGAGGCAGCAGUGGG
rnacentral:rRNA from 1 species